AUGAAAAAAGAAAAAAAGCCAAGGACUCGUAAUUUGGUUGUUAUUGCUAGUAAUAGACAAAGAAAGUUUCUAAGUCCUAACCACAUGACUUCACAUCACAAUAACUCAACAAUUGCAAUAAAAUUUAAUUGUUUUAAACACAAACUAACAAUUGAUGUGUUAGUAAAAGGCCUCUUAUCACUAGGACUUAUGUCAGAAAGAAGCAUAUAA